GCCAACUUCUCUUGUGGAAAUAGAUCCAAAACCUGGAGAUACUUACCUGUACACCUGAAAGGAGCAAAAUUACAGUUACUACGCAGACACGUGUGGAUUACAAAAUUACUUGUGAACGUGAGACUUACCUUGAGUGGACCUGUGCCUGGAGACCUCAGAAAGGUGUCCUCAGUUUCUGUUAAUACAUUUGUGUUUUUACUUGCAUUGAGAGCAGCUCAUGCAAGGCCGAGCAUACAGCCUGCAAGACAUGUAGACAGGGCCCAAGUAGGCAGGUUUUCUUUUAUUUAAUUUCUUUUUUCCAAAUGCCGGAUAUUUUGUAUUUUUCAGUUUAAACAGUAUGAUGCCUCUUACUGGAACCCGUUGAAUGUGCAUUCAAAAUACAGGCAUGGAGGGGAACCAUUUUUGCAUCAGCUGGGUGACUUUUUGGGGAAGUUAGUUCCGGUCUGCAAGCAGGAACUGCUGUUACCAAGUGUCAGCAUUGUGCACAAUGGAAGCCUGCUAACUGAGAAGUGGUUCCAAAAAUAUGAUCCUCAAGGCCUGCUAUCAUCUUGGUUAGCUUACAUUACCUAUCAUCCUAUAAGCAGAACUUCCCAGGAAUUUGUACAGAAAAGUUUCAGCAUUUUAAAAGAUUACCUGGUCCACAGCAUAACACAUCCAAAAAAUAAAAGAUCAACAGGAACAUUUCCAUGUAACAGGCUACGUUGUACAACCUGCAAAUAUACCAUCUCAAAACUAGAGAUCACAGGACCUAAAUCAUCAUUUAUCAUCAGUGAACACUUUACUUGCACCUCACAUGGAAUUGUCUAUUGCAUUAUCAGUAAAAAUUCAACAAACUGUACAUUUGAGAAACAAAAAGGCGUUUAGCUGAUCGCUUUGUGGAACAUUUAAGAAACAUUAGGAUCAGCUCUGCCACAUCAUCCAUAGCUAAACAUUUUAACACAGCUGGACACAGCCCUAAUGACAUUGCAGUCUGUGCAAUUUAUCAUUGUUACGGAACACAUGCUGGAAGGAAACAAAAGGAACGUGAAUGUAUCUUUAAACUUGGCACCUCAGAACCUGUUGGGAUGAACAUUCUGUCUUGAGAGUCAAAACAUUCCAUGACUAUUGAAAUUCAGAACCUACAGUACACUCUUUAGAGAUCUACAGUAACAGAAGAAAGUCUUAUUUUCAUAAAUAAUGUUUUGCAGAACAAUAGGUUUUAUUUAGCUAAAUCUAACAUUUGACUAUUUAAAGUUUUAAGUAAAACAAAAAGCAACCAGAAAAAAAGCUAUCUUUUCAAUUGCUUACAUACCCUGUGUAUUCAACAGUUUUAUAUAAAUGUGUUCCCAAGUUUACCCAUUGAUGAAGGUUGGUGGCUGAAGUACUAAUUUGGGACUGUAGGUGGCAGCAAAGUGGAAUGUGAAUCUGCCUGCUGAAUCAGACAGGAGAAGCAAAGUACUGCCUGAAGUGCUCCCUCACACAUCUGGUUAGUUCACAGUUAGGCCGUGUUGACAGGAAGAUGUCAUGUACUAUACUUUAUGGUGUAGAAACCCUUCACUAAUUCAUGUUGUAACAAGCGACUGUAUAUUAUUAUAUACUGUAUUAGUAUCUGUACCUUUAAGAGUGAAGGCACUUCCCUGGAGAAGCAGCCUUGACGUGGGCAUGGUAAGGAAAUGUAAAUUCUUAAGUUACUAUUUUAUUUUUGUGUACUGUAUGUUGGUUAAUGUAAAUGAUUAGUGUGGUAAUAAAAGUGUAAUCGCUUACCUGAAAACCUGUGUGUGGAUCCUUGUAUUCACAAUAAGCCAGGAUACAACAGUCUGAUAAGUUAUUCACAUAUGCUAUGGUGCUAGGUUAAUAGCUACCCCAACCUGAGCCAGACUGCCACUGUGCUGAUGCAAAUAGUGUGACUGUUCAUUGAUUUUCA